AUUUUGCGUGAGGGAUUGCAAUGAAAAUCCCACAGCCUGACCUUAAGGGAAGGCGAGGAAUUGCAAAGAAAAGCCCGACCUGAU
rnacentral:misc_RNA from 1 species